AUAAACAGAGAAAACUUUGACGAAUUUGAACAUUAGCUCUAUUUGGUAGCAAAGAGAACACAACAAUUUCCCGCGAAGAUGUCAUUGACAGUAAAAGCCUAUUUGGUAAAGAAAGGAGAGAAACAGAGAGAAAUACGGAGAUUUUCUGUGCCUGCUGAUGUUUCGAUCAGUUUCAGUUAUCUUCAGGAGAAAGUUUUAGAAACUUAUCCUAAUUUAAAACAAGGAAGUUUUAAUCUGUUUUGGACAGAUCCUGAGGGUGAUCAAAUAUCAUUUUCCACAGAUAAAGAACUAACAGAGGCUCUGGGUUUCAUAGAAGAUGGAAUUUUUAAGAUAAAAAUCAAAGAAACAAAAAGAGAAGACUGCGAGCAGGAGAAAUAGUUACUCCGCAAAUUAAUACGAUUGGCUGACUACAAGAGGAAAUUUCCUCAUGGCGGAAAAGCGGAAGAAACAAAAUUGUAAAAAGGCUCUUGGAGAUACCCCCUCCCCACAAAAAACUAAUGAUGGAUGCUGAUGGAUGUCUUAUCUAUGUAAAUAAGCGGUGUUCCAGUUUAAUAUCAACUGAAAUAGAGAUUUUAUUUAAAGUCGGUGAUACAUAUAGAUGACAAGUAUCAAUAAUGUAACAUAAGCUCUGUAGACAUAAUAAACUCAAGUUGAAAGUUUUUCAGUAUUAUUUAUUGAAUGCGUCUUCCUGAAAAGGC